ensembl:lncRNA
AUUUAAUUGGUAAAAAUAGAAGACAGCUUUAGAAUUUCAUGAAGUCAGUGCUAUUGCUGCCCUCGUGUAGUGCAGUCAUCCUUCAGUUUGUAACAUUGGGAUUUAGCAGUUUCUUUCCCAGCCUGAAAGCUAGCAUUUUUGAAAGGGAACAUAAGUAGUAUUGUAAGUUAAAUAAAAUUAUUCCAAUAUAUUUUCUCAGUAAACACAAAGGUGAAGACACCCAACAUAAAAAGACCAUUUGAUCCAGGAAUAAAUAAAUAAAUGAAUAAGUAAAAUAAAAAACAAAUUCAGGAUGGAAGAUACUUAUUUUUCAAACUUGUCUCUCCAUGUUUAGCUCAUACUGCAGUGGGAUAAGUGGGCCCCUUCUGCACGCAGGUAGCAGCUCAAUUUUGGCAAGGGGGAAGCUAGGAAUGUGUAGUUAGCCCUGAUCCCCAGCACCUGGUACAAAGGCCAUUUAAGAAGCCAGAGGAGCACAUAAGUGUCUGAAAAAAACAAGAAGAUCUUCAUUCUUGGUUUGAAAGAGGUUAGUGAUGGUUUUACUUGCUAGUAUCUUCACUUUGUUGAUGAGGAAAAAAAAGCCCAAAACAGUAUCUCUGAUGUUGCUUAGGAGUUGGUGUGGUGCUUGCUGCCCCACUGGGGCAGAGGCGAGUGGACUGCAGACUUCUGUUCCCUGCUGCGUUGGUUGCACUGUAUGUUAUGGCUGUUGGCUGCUCUCAGGGCAUGGGUAGAACAGGGUUCAGGCUGUGGAGCUCUAGUUCAGCUACAGGCUCAGUAAAAUAAGCGGCUGUUUCAUGGUUGAACUUCUUAUCUUAGGUAAGAAGGAAAACUGAAAGUAUUAAGCUGUUGCUGGCAUCUUUCUGGAAGCUAACGCUAUUGGUGCAUGGCGGAAAGCAGCUGUAACCUUGCUGUGAGGGAGCAGCCUGGCUCCUGCAAGCUCACUGCAGGCACAUCUGGACCACAGCUGUUCCACAUCUUCAGCUUCAUCCCUGGAGAAGCAGCACAGGGAGCAAUUGCAUUGAAGAGGUUGUUCAGCAAAAACAUAUUGACAUGGUCUGUCAUCUGCAGGCAAGCAGAGUGCUGACCCAGGCGUCAGAGUCACCUUUGAGGCAGGGAGAUUUAAAGUCUUCUGUGCAAGAAGAAGAGGGGAGCAAUUUUCAGAUUGCUUAAACAGAAGAAGAGAAUGGUUGAUAAGGGGAGGCAUGGCUGCAUUGGGUCCUUUCAGAUGCUUUGAAACUGCUUUUGAGGAAAAAAUACCUGAUUAAAAAUGGUGUUUUAUUAUAGGAUUCACUACUGAAUUGUGGUUUUUUUUGUUUUGUUUUGUUUUUUUUGUUUUCUUUCUGGAGUGUUCUCUAUUUUUCCAUUUUAGUUUUAUUGAGUCUGGAAUCUGUCAUGUAGUUACAAACUUAACCAACCUUUAAAAAGCUGGUUAAACUGAAGAGGGGAAAAAAGUCAAUACUUGCUCUCAGCUAUACAUUUAUUUAAAAAAACAAAGCACCAAAAUCUAUUACCCUUGCUUAUUUCACUUUGGCUUCCUGAGCUCAGUGCCUUAUUCUGGGACAAUGCUGCUAUUUUGAGCUUCUAAGCCCUUCUUCUGUUGUUUGAGUGCAAUGUGGACCAUGAAACAGUGCUGGGCAAGUAGUUCUAUUGGUUAUAGAGUACCCUGUAACAGCUCACUGUCUCUGUGGUCAGGCUGCUGUUGGUUGGGUUUAUCUGUUGUCUGCUGGGUACAGAAU